UACGGGGGGGGCAAGCGUUGUUCGGAAUUACUGGGCGUAAAGGGCUCGUAGGUGGCCAACUAAGUCAGACGUGAAAUCCCUCAGCUUAACUGGGGAACUGCGUCUGAUACUGGAUGGCUUGAGUUCGGGAGAGGGAUGUGGAAUUCCAGGUGUAGCGGUGAAAUGCGUAGAUAUCUGGAGGAACACCGGUGGCGAAGGCGGCAUCCUGGACCGACACUGACGCUGAGGAGCGAAAGCCAGGGGAGCAAACGGG
rnacentral:rRNA from 1 species